rnacentral:lncRNA from 1 species
CUUUCCCCUUCCUGUGCGUGGGCUCCACUAGAGAACCCCUUGUCUACCUCGACAGACCUCACCUUGACUUUGGAGAACUGCUUGUUGGUCGUAAAGUGGAACAGGCAGUCGACCUGGUGAACGGGGAGGAGGAGCUCUUCCACUUCUCUGUCGUGCAGUCAUCUCUUCUCUGUGACGACCAGCAGUCCAGCCUCAUUGUGCAGCCCAUGACUGGCGCAGUGGCCCCAAGAGACAGGUUGCCACUGUCAGUGUCCUUCACGCCUUGCCGGGAGGGCUGUGUGAGCUUCAGAGUGGUUCUGAGGGUGAAGAGGAAAUCAGAGCCACUCGCGCUCACAGUUAAAGCCGAUUGUUUCAGCAUGAGAACCUCCGUUCAAGUUGAGAAGCCAGAAGGAGGCCUCAGAGAGAUCGGCCCCGACCACAAAGACACUUUGGACUUCGGGA